GACGAACGCUGGCGGCGUGCUUAACACAUGCAAGUCGAACGGAAAGGCCCUGCUUUUGUGGAGUGCUCGAGUGGCGAACGGGUGAGUAACACGUGAGUAACCUGCCCUUGACUUUGGGAUAACUUCAGGAAACUGGGGCUAAUACCGGAUAGGAGCUCCUGCUGCAUGGUGGGGGUUGGAAAGUUUCGGCGGUUGGGGAUGGACUCGCGUCUUAUCAGCUUGUUGGUGGGGUAGUGGCUUACCAAGGCUUUGACGGGUAGCCGGCCUGAGAGGGUGACCGGCCACAUUGGGACUGAGAUACGGCCCAGACUACUACGGGAGGCAGCAGUGGGGAAUAUUGCACAAUGGGCGGAAGCCUGAUGCAGCAAAGCCGCGUGCGGGAUGACGGCAAUCGGGUUGUAAACCGCUUUCGCCUGUGACGAAGCGUGAGUGACGGUAAUGGGUAAAGAAGCACCGGCUAACUACGUG
rnacentral:rRNA from 1 species